rnacentral:tRNA from 1 species
CGGUGAGGUGUCCGAGUGGUCGAAGGAGCACGCCUGGAAAGUGUGUAUGUCGCAAGGCAUCGAGGGUUCGAAUCCCUCCCUCACCGCCAU